rnacentral:rRNA from 1 species
ACGGCGGCGCUCCCCAUCCAGGAGAUGGUGGAGUGGGAGUUCAAGAGCAAGGAGGACGGCAAGAUGCACGCCUGCGGCCACGACGCCCACACCGCCAUGCUCCUCGGCGCCGCCAAGUUGCUCCAGUCCCGCAAGGACGGCCUCGCGGGCACGGUGAAGCUCGUGUUCCAGCCGGCGGAGGAGAGCCACGCCGGCGGGUACCACGUGCUGCAAUCCGGCGUCCUGGACGACGUGGCCGCCAUCUUCGCCGUGCACAUCGACACGCAACUCCGCGCCGGCGCCGUUGGGUCCAGGCCGGGGCCGUUCCUCGCCGGGUCGGCCCGCUUCAAGGCCACCAUAACCGGAAAGGGCGGCCACGGCGCUAUGCCGCACGCCGCUGUCGACCCGGUGGUGGCCGCCUGCUCCGCCGUGCUCAGCCUGCAGCAGCUCGUCGCCCGCGAGACGGACCCGCUCCAGGGCGCGGUGGUGUCGGUGACCACCAUCAGGGGCGGCGAGACGUUCAACGUCAUCCCGGAGUCCGUGACGCUGGGUGGCACCUUGAGGAGCAUGACGACGCCGGGGAUGCGCUACCUGAUGAGGAGGAUCAGGGAGGUGGUGGAGGGGCAGGCGGCGGUGGCCCGGUGCGCGGCGACGGUGGACUUCAUGGAGGAGGAGCUCCGGCCGUACCCGGCCACGGUGAACGACGAGGGCGUGUACGCGCACGCCAGGGCGGUGGCGGAGGGCAUGCUGGGCCCGGCGAACGUCAGGCUGUCCCCGCAGAUCAUGGCCGCCGAGGACUUCGGGUUCUACGCCGAGAAGAUCCCGGCCGCCUUCUUCGGCCUCGGCGUCCGCGCCGGCGGCGAGGAGGACGAGGUGCACCACGUGCACACGCCGCGCAUGGUCAUCGAUGAGGACGCGCUCCCCGUUGGGGCCGCCCUCCACGCCGCAGUGGCCAUCGAGUUCUUGAACAAGCACGCGCGUGCCACGGCGUCGCCUCCCGCGGCUGCGUAG